GACGAACGCUGGCGGCGUGCCUAAUACAUGCAAGUAGAACGCUGAAGGAGGAGCUUGCUUCUCUGGAUGAGUUGCGAACGGGUGAGUAACGCGUAGGUAACCUGCCUGGUAGCAGGGGAUAACUAUUGGAAACGAUAGCUAAUACCGCAUAACAGUAGAUAUCGCAUGAUAUCUACUUGAAAGGUGCAAUUGCAUCACUACCAGAUGGACCUGCGUUGUAUUAGCUAGUUGGUGAGGUAACGGCUCACCAAGGCGACGAUACAUAGCCGACCUGAGAGGGUGAUCGGCCACACUGGGACUGAGACACGGCCCAGACUCCUACGGGAGGCAGCAGUAGGGAAUCUUCGGCAAUGGACGGAAGUCUGACCGAGCAACGCCGCGUGAGUGAAGAAGGUUUUCGGAUCGUAAAGCUCUGUUGUAAGAGAAGAACGAGUGUGAGAGUGGAAAGUUCACACUGUGACGGUAUCUUACCAGAAAGGGACGGCUAACUACGUG
rnacentral:rRNA from 1 species